ACAUGCAAGUCGAACGGGAAUCUUCGGAUUCUAGUGGCGGACGGGUGAGUAACGCGUAAGAAUCUAACUUCAGGACGGGGACAACAGUUGGAAACGACUGCUAAUACCCGAUGUGCCGCAAGGUGAAACCUAAUUGGCCUGGAGAAGAGCUUGCGUCUGAUUAGCUAGUUGGUGGGGUAAGAGCCUACCAAGGCGACGAUCAGUAGCUGGUCUGAGAGGAUGAGCAGCCACACUGGGACUGAGACACGGCCCAGACUCCUACGGGAGGCAGCAGUGGGGAAUUUUCCGCAAUGGGCGAAAGCCUGACGGAGCAACGCCGCGUGAGGGAGGAAGGUCUUUGGAUUGUAAACCUCUUUUCUCAAGGAAGAAGUUCUGACGGUACUUGAGGAAUC
rnacentral:rRNA from 1 species